AACGUAGGACGCAAGCGUUAUCCGGAGUUACUGGGCGUAAAGCGCGAGCAGGCGGCUCGACAAGUUCGCUGUGAAAGCUCCCGGCUCAACCGGGCGAGGCCAGUGGAAACUAUCGAGCUGGAGGGCAGUAGAGGCAGGCGGAAUUCCGGGUGGAGUGGUGAAAUGCGUAGAGAUCCGGAGGAACACCAGAGGCGAAGGCGGCCUGCUGGGCUGCACCUGACGCUGAGCCGCGAAAGCCAGGGGAGCAAACGGG
rnacentral:rRNA from 1 species